UACGUAGGGUGCGAGCGUUGUCCGGAAUUAUUGGGCGUAAAGAGCUCGUAGGCGGUUUGUCGCGUCGGCCGUGAAAACUUGGGGCUUAACCCCAAGCCUGCGGUCGAUACGGGCAGACUUGAGUUCGGCAGGGGAGACUGGAAUUCCUGGUGUAGCGGUGAAAUGCGCAGAUAUCAGGAGGAACACCGGUGGCGAAGGCGGGUCUCUGGGCCGAUACUGACGCUGAGGCACGAAAGCGUGGGGAGCAAACAGG
rnacentral:rRNA from 1 species